ACGCUGGCGGCAUGCUUAACACAUGCAAGUUGAACGAAGGUCCGAGGCUUGCUUCGGGUACCUUAGUAGCGAACGGGUGAGUAACGCGUGGGAAUCUACCUAGAAAUGGGGAAUAACUACUGGAAACGGUAGCUAAUACCGCAUAAUCCCUUUGGGGCAAAGGCUUCGGUCGUUUUUAGAUGAGCCCGCGUUAGAUUAGAUUGUUGGUGGGGUAAUGGCCUACCAAAUCUUCUAUCUAUAGCUGGUCUGAGAGGAUGAUCAGCCACACUGGGACUGAGACACGGCCCAGACUCCUACGGGAGGCAGCAGUGGGGAAUAUUGGACAAUGGGGGAAACCCUGAUCCAGCAAUGCCGCGUGAGUGAAGAAGGCCUUAGGGUUGUAAAACUCUUUCAGAAGUGAAGAUGAUGACUGUAACUUCAGAAGAAGCUCCGGCUAACUCCGUGCCAGCAGCCGCGGUAAUACGGAGGGAGCUAGCGUUGUUCGGAAUUACUGGGCGUAAAGGGCGUGUAGGCUGUAUGGUAAGUCAGAGGUGAAAUCCCUAAGCUUAACUUAGGAACUGCCUUUGAUACUAUCAUGCUAGAGAUCGAGAGAGGUUAGUGGAAUUCCAAGUGUAGAGGUGAAAUUCGUAGAUAUUUGGAAGAACACCAGUGGCGAAAGCGACUAACUGGCUCGUUUCUGACGCUGAGACGCGAAAGCGUGGGUAGCAAACAGGAUUAGAUACCCUGGUAGUCCACGCCGUAAACGAUGAGUGCUAGCCGUUUGAAGGUUACCUUCAAGUGGUGCAGUUAACGCGUUAAGCACUCCGCCUGGGGAGUAC
rnacentral:rRNA from 1 species